AGCAGGUGAGUGUUUUCAUCAAUUUAAUUGCUAUUUUUCCUAUUUUUCAUGCGACUCAUAGAAAAUUGGGUGAGAAAUGCGGUCUCGAAGUGAAGGUCUGCAGGUGGAAAGUCAGACUCUGGAGAUAAUUAUACAAACGAAGAGGUGGAAGCAAAGGAUUUAUUUUUUAUUUCAAACUCCAUGGACUGUGAUGAAUCGCGAUCAUUAUUGGUCAAAACGUUGAGGAUUCGGAAUGAUCUUCGUAAAGUUUGCGGCGUAAACACAAUAAAACAGCUGGAAUUUUGAAGGCGUUUUUCCUUCUCCUGGAAGAAGAUUUGCUAAAUUUUGAAUUUCAACUAAUGUACCAGAACAAUAUAUCAAUGAAUUUGGAUGAUGAUUACGACACUGUAGAGAAUGUACACAUUCAAAGAUUUUUGAAACUUUUGUCGGCUUUGACGAUACAAGGAAACAUCAAACGCGCCGAAACUGGACUGCCGCCGUGGCAGUUUGAUACGUUGGGUCGAUGUUCGAGACGAGCAAAAUUGGCCAGAUCUUCCGAUUUGUGUAAUGAUUAACGCACCACCACUCAAAUCGGGAGAUAUAACUCUGCUCGUGCACGUCUCAACGAUCGAUUGCUUCACAGGUUUUUCAAUGGCGCUAGAUUUGACGCCUAAGACCUACAAAAUAUUCGCCACGCCAGUACCGUCCAAAUUUGAAAAAAAUGUAGAUUUUUUCGACAGAUGUUUGUUAAAAAUUUCAACCAACAGCCGAAUCAUGUCCGUGAACAGGAUGGUGAAAAAAAUUGAAAAAGCGGUGAUUCUAUUUUUUUUUUGUUUCUUAAAAUAAAGAACAUUGUAAAUCUUU